GCUCGAUGAGUAGGGCGGGACACGUGGUAUCCUGUCUGAAUAUGGGGGGACCAUCCUCCAAGGCUAAAUACUCCUGACUGACCGAUAGUGAACCAGUACCGUGAGGGAAAGGCGAAAAGAACCCCGGCGAGGGGAGUGAAAAAGAACCUGAAACCGUGUACGUACAAGCAGUGGGAGCCCCACCACUAAGCCAGUGGUGAACUCCACAUACGCAUCCUUUGCUGAGGAUACGGUUAACGGAGCGAAAGCGACGUUCAACCUCAAAAGAAGCAGAGGGGGCUUAGUGGUGGGGUGACUGCGUACCUUUUGUAUAAUGGGUCAGCGACUUAUAUUCUGUAGCAAGGUUAACCGUAUAGGGGAGCCGCAGGGAAACCGAGUCUUAACCGGGCGUUAAGUUGCAGGGUAUAGACCCGAAACCCGGUGAUCUAGCCAUGGGCAGGUUGAAGGUUGGGUAACACUAACUGGAGGACCGAACCGACUAAUGUUGAAAAAUUAGCGGAUGACCUGUGGCUGGGGGUGAAAGGCCAAUCAAACCGGGAGAUAGCUGGUUCUCCCCGAAAGCUAUUUAGGUAGCGCCUCGUGAACUCAUCUCCGGGGGUAGAGCACUGUUUCGGCUAGGGGGCCAUCCCGGCUUACCAACCCGAUGCAAACUGCGAAUACCGGAGAAUGUUAUCACGGGAGACACACGGCGGGUGCUAACGUCCGUCGUGAAGAGGGAAACAACCCAGACCGCCAGCUAAGGUCCCAAAGUCAUGGUUAAGUGGGAAACGAUGUGGGAAGGCCCAGACAGCCAGGAUGUUGGCUUAGAAGCAGCCAUCAUUUAAAGAAAGCGUAAUAGCUCACUGGUCGAGUCGGCCUGCGCGGAAGAUGUAACGGGGCUAAACCAUGCACCGAAGCUGCGGCAGCGACACUAUGUGUUGUUGGGUAGGGGAGCGUUCUGUAAGCCUGUGAAGGUGGCCUGUGAGGGUUGCUGGAGGUAUCAGAAGUGCGAAUGCUGACAUAAGUAACGAUAAAGCGGGUGAAAAGCCCGCUCGCCGGAAGACCAAGGGUUCCUGUCCAACGUUAAUCGGGGCAGGGUGAGUCGACCCCUAAGGCGAGGCCGAAAGGCGUAGUCGAUGGGAAACGGGUUAAUAUUCCCGUACUUGGUGUUACUGCGAAGGGGGGACGGAGAAGGCUAUGUUGGCCGGGCGACGGUU
rnacentral:rRNA from 1 species